rnacentral:sRNA from 1 species
CUCAAUUGUAUGGUUUUGUCAACUAAGAUUCCACCUUUAUUUCAAUCAUGAAAUACCUCGUCGCAGUUAUACUUCUAAUACAAGCCGUUGCUAGAAUUCCUCAGACUUGGUCUUCUGAGCAAUACGAUGCUGACCCUGAUAUGGUGAACGUGGAAGUCGGCUCCCCCGAUGUGAUAGAUAUUAAGUUAUCAAUUGAUCGAAUAGCUCGAGGAUACCACGGAAUCAGUGGAUAUUUUGAUAUUAAGCAGGACAUCGAUACUGACCAGGUCUUAAUGCACGCUAAAAUUUACAGAAGCUAUAACAGGAAUAAAUACCAAAAUGCUGUGGCAGCCUUCGAAAUAAGGAACCAAACGCUUACGUCCUUUUUAAAUAAGGCCUUCAAACAAUACGUUUACGAUGACGCCCAAAACUGCUGCACCAAUGUUCCGCAAUACGAAACGUUUGAAUCGCCUUUGACGAAACGUUAUAUCGAAUGCACAAAGUGCAGAUUUUCCACCGAAAAGUGGCCAAAUCAUUUAAAAAAUGAACUUUACACCGUUGCAUUUAUGUUCCAUGGAAAUGUUAACUUCAAUUUAAAUGUGACAUUCCUAGUGGAACCUCCUAGAUACUAGUGUCCCAACAUUUUCGCCGUCACGCAUAGAAACGUUGUUGGCAAUGACAUUUUUUUCAUGUAGUUUUAAAGCCGCGGCAAGUAUGCAAUAAAUAUUUUUUAAUAUUCUUUGGAGCAGGAA